rnacentral:lncRNA from 1 species
AAUUUGUCCAUUGAUAUAUACUAAUAAAUACAUUCAUAAACUGAUAAUAAUCCGUGCAUAAAACAAUUUUCGAGAAAGAAUUCAUGGAGAAAUUUAGGAAAAAUAUAGAAAAAUCGACGAUUUUUACACCUCUCUGGUCGCCAUAUUGAAAUCCGCCAUCUUAAAAAUUGUGUAUUUGAUUGAAAAUGAACUGCGAAUAUCAAUCCCAUUAUUUUCAGUAAUAAUAAGUCGUUAAUUGUCCGCAAUUUACGAAUUAUUGUGGAAAAAAUACGAUAAUUCGUAAAUUUUUUCGAUUUAGCCGCUAUUUUUCAAUGGAAAUGACAAUUUUGACAAAUUUUGAAAAUCUACCGUUAAAGUACAAAUAUUUUAUGCACCGAUGGUUGCAAAAAGAGUUGGAGUUUUAUAUUAUUUUAAUGUGAAAAAAAAUAUUGAAAAAAAAGUUUUUGUAAUUUUUUCGUAUUUUUUUAUUUAAAACCCGCCGUAACUUUUUGGGACUUUUUUUGCACAACUUUUAUUGAAGGAUUCUGAAAGAGCAUAAAAUUUUAUAUAAGAAAUAAUACUCUUCAAAUUUUGUAUAGACCUAUAACGUUGCAAAUAAAGUCGCUAAAAAUUAGGUUGAAAAUGCGUACGCUUGGGCAUUAAUGAGUUAUAUUGUCUUAAGAUGUCAAUAAUCAAUUACAAAGCCAUAUUAGCAUCUUGAGACAUUACUUAAAUUGAUCUUAAAUAUAACACCCGAUUAUGAAUACCAGCCUAACUGCUCUUUUUAUUAUUUUACUUUUUUUAUUUUUAUGCAUAGCUAGAUUUUCUUUCUUUUUCAUUUAUGUUAUUUUGCUAAAAUUGUAUUACAGAAUUACAAAGCCAUUUUAAACUAAGUACAUAAUAAAUAUAGGUCAAAGUAACUGCUAGGAUAUUAGUGCUGAAGUUAUGUUUCACUUUCGAAUCCUCAAAGUUUGUCAUUCAACUCGGCGGAACGUAAUGUGAGUGGCAUACACUUUCGUGUUCUCUUUUUCGACAAAUUGUUAUGUUUGAAGUUAGGUGUUUUAAUAACUUUAAAGAACAAUAUCCAAUCGUUGUGAAGUAUUUGCAUGUAAGAAGAAAUGCUUCUUGAGAGUUGCAAAUUCUUUUAUUCACAGUACGGUAUUUAUUUUUCUUCUUUCUCAUAUCUCAAUACAUUUUCUGGACAUGAAUUAAUUCAUUAAACAAUUUCGGCAAACUGUGAAACGCAAUAACGCAUUUACUACUCUGAUUUAUUUAAGGGGAGGUUCCCUUGUUAGUAAGAAUUUCUAACGCCUGUGACAUGCUAUCUAACCAUGCGAUUGUUAUUCCGCUGAGACGUACCUUAAACAUGUAUAAACGUAUUGAUAUAAAAUUUAUUAGUCGCAAAUAAUAUUUACCCGUUUAUAAAUAAAAUUAUGUAAGAGAGAGGUUGUAAAAUAUUUUAAUAAGAAGGAUAUUUUAAUAAGAGGGAUGUUUGAAUGAAUAUGCAGGACACAGGAUAGAUUUUUUUAUACUUUAUACAGAAAAUUAAUUUAAAACAGAAUUAAUAAUUAUUUGACCUUACUGGCCAGAUUUAUUUAAUCAGUAAGACACUACGUUUCGACUCUAAAUUUGGGUCCUUAUCAAGUGCGAAAAGUCACCAUAAAUAAGAAAAUUAAUGUUUCUUAUACAAUAAAAAAAAAAAAAAUAAAAUAAAAUAAAAGACAUAAGAUACCUCUAGUCAAUAUGACCAUCAUGUAUCCAAUUUGGCUUACCGUCCGUUUCUAAAUAGUUACAAGUUACAUUAUAAGGAAUUUCAUAGAUAAUGCUAAUAUAUCCCCUAGAAAGUCAAUACGAUGUGUUUAUGUUAGUUAGCCGGUCAAUAUUUGUUUUUUAUAUAUUUAUUUAUUCACUAUUUGCUUUGACACUUUGACACUUUGACAUCGUGCAUAUCGACUACAUUAUUUUCUCGAAGAUAUCAGUCCGCUUGCUACCGUACGGCCAUUAAGACAUACUAAACCUACUGACUUGUUUUCGCGAAAAUUCGCAUAUUUUAUUUUAAUUUAUUUCCUUUUUUUUUGUUGUUUUUAAUUUGUGAUUAAUCAAUUUGACUCAUGACAAUUUGUGACCCGCCGACACGUAAGUUAACUGUUUUACUUCAACUUCACCCACGGUUCGAUUUUAGUUUAAUUACUUUGUCAUUUUUUCUUUGCGAAUUUACUUACAGUAUUAUGCCUGCACACAUCAUCAUAGUAUGGUCCGUGCACGAUGUCAAAUAUAACUAAAUUUAUUCUCACAACUUCUAUGUAGACCAAGGUACUCAUUUAUAUUCUUAUAUUAUUUUAUACGCCCACGACUAUUGCUUUCGCCCUGCGUCCCUGACACUGAUGUAAUUGUUGUAGAGUUCACUUGAUAAGGACCUGAACCAAGGGUCGAAACGUCGUGUAAUUAUUAAUUGUUUAAUAAACUGGCCAGUCGGGUCGACGUAAAGAGAUUUUAUUUAUUUAUUCAUUGGCGAAAUAUCUUCCAAUUAAUAUUUGUUUUCUACAGCUUGUAAUCACAUUUUAUUCAAAUUGUGCUCAUCUAAAUCUAAAAUUUCAGAAGUAAGUUUUUGCUUUGUAUAACUAUUAUGUAGCUGUUAUAAAUAUCCAAAAUUCAAAUUAUAGUAGGUUUUUAUUUAUGCUUUUUAUUUAUUUUUAUUACAAUGUUUUAUUUAUAACUAAAGAAAGACAACUCUUUGUAAGAUGAAAUUAUUAUAUUAUAGCUUGGGACAUUACACAAUAUAACUCGUUACUAUACAAAAAAAAAUUCUGUGUCUUUAUUUAAUUUUUUUUUCAUCAACAAUUUUUUUCAUCAAAGAAUUGGGAAAUUCUUUGAAGACAAUUUGAAUACAAACCAAAACAUCCACUUUUACAAAUAAUUAUUUAUACAAAUAAUUACUUGUAAAAGUGGAUGUUUUAGUUCGUAUGAGCAUCCAUUUUCAUAGUUGGCGCAUUUUCUUCAUAUUAUUACUUUUGUAGAGAAAAUAAACUUUUUGUUCUUUUUUUUUUGAGAAAAAACAAUUUUAUUAAAAUUUCAUUUGUAGUGCACAUUUGUAAUGCCAAAUUAAAAUUAUUUUGUAUAAAAAUAAAUUUUUGAGGGCGUUUCAUGCGCGUGUAUACUUGGCGCUUUUUUAUACCUUUUUAAAAAAGGUAAUUUUGUAGGGAUUUCACUUAUUUUGUAGUAUCAGAUAUCUCGCUUCUUUUAAUUAAUUAAUUAAUUAAUUCGAAGCCAUUUGAUAAUACAGAAAAAAAAAAGUAAUACAGCCAAUAACAUGUGAUUGCGAGCUGCCAACUACAUAAAAUACUCAAUACAAUAAUAUUUGCUAUUAAUGCAAGUACAAUGUUGAUACUGCAAUAGCAUAUAUUAUUGUAUUGAGUAUAUCUGUAAUUGGCAGCCCGCAAUAACAUAUCUUAUUGAAUAUAUUACUUUUUUUUUCAGUGUACUAGUGCUUAUUUCAAGUUCGCAUCUCUAACCGUUCCGUUCUCGAGAUAUACGUGAUACAAGGUUUAAUUAAUUAAUUAAUUCGAAGACAUCUGAUAAUUCUAGUGUUUAUUCCAAGUUCGUAUCCCCAACCAUUCUCGAGAUAUACAUGUUACAAGAUUUAAUUAAUUAAUUAAUUAAUUAAUUUUAGAUAAGCAUUGACUCUCUAAAGUGUUCCAAUGAUACUAUUGCUUAUCCCAAGUUCACAUCUCCAACCGUUCUCAAGAUUUGCAUGUUUUAAAAUUUAAUUAAUUAAUUAAUAAUUAAUUAAAUUUUAAUUACGUAAUUAAUCCGAAAACAUCUAAUAAUACUAGUGCUUAUCUCAAGUUCAUAUCUCCAACCGUUCUCGAGAUAUACAUGUUACAAGGUUUAAUUAAUUAAUUAAUUAAUUAAUUAAUAAUUCAAAGACAUCUGAUAAUACUAGUACUUAUCUUAAGUUCUCUAACCGUUCCCGAGAUAUGUAUAUGCAUGAUACAAGGUGUACAUCUGAUUGUACAGCCAUCUGACGGCACAAAAAGUAAACGUACAAAUACCCACCACUUGGCCAGGCGACGACGAUAAUAACGGCGACGACUACGACGUUUUUUAAUCAAAUUUAUUCGUGAGCAAAAAAUUUUAGUCGCGAAAUUUCCGCUCGUAAAUCACGUAGAGGAAAAAAAACACUUUUAUUGUAUAAAUCGGAUGCGAACUAUCCAUUAAGCCUAUUGAGAAAUCCAUCGGUUCAGUCGUUAUUGAGAAUCCGAUAACUACAGAUUUUGGCAAACGACGUCUCGCGUAAAAGAAACACGGUGAUGCCUCGUGCUGUGCGUACACUUGGCGCGAGGCACUACCGUGCCUCUUGAUCUACGCAUAAAUUUUCGAGUUUGUUGCCUUUUUUUUAUUUUGUUCCUUAUUUUUAGUUUAUAUCUUACAUUUUAUACACAUAUAAAAACAUAUCUGUUGCAUUUUUUACUUGAACUCUUUUUUUUUUAAAUGUAAUUCAUUAUACAUUAUAGUAUUAUAUUUAUAAUAAAUUAUUAUAUUAAAUUGUACAUUAUUUUGGCGAAAAUAGAUGGUGUCAAAACUGCUUUGAAACAUUGUUGGAUGAUACAUAAGUCUGUAAUUAUGUUUAGAGGAUAUAUCAAUAUAAUAUAUAAUGCAGAUUUAUCUUUGCCUAUAUCAUGUUAUUAUUUUUGUUUUUUUUAUUUUUGUUUUUUUGUUUUAAAUUCUGGAAAAGAAUUUCUAAAUCUAUAAAAGAAAUAUAUACGAAAUCUCAUCAAUGAUGUGCACGAAUGACUCUACAUUAUCGACCUCGAUCAAGUUUGAGAGGCAGUCCAGCAUCCCCUUAAACAAUGAUAUAGAAUUAUGCUAAUAUAUAUAGUCAUCUAAAUGUGCUGGUUACUUUCGAGAUUUCCAUAUCGACAAAAUUCCUCGAUAAAUUGAUUGUGACUGUAGUGUUAACCUUCACGUAAUAUAUAUGCUUGCGACAAAAGGAAGAAGUUAUGUGUAAAUGUACGUAUUAAGCAAUUUUAUUUUGUCUAUAAUUAUGCUACAAUAUAUUUGAGUGCGUUUCACUUAACGCUUGCAACGCUCGCAACCAUUAUUUGUCCCUGUUUAAUAUUUGAUAAACGACAAGGAUGACAUAAUUCCGCGGUCGUUGCAGGCUUAUAAUCUUAAUUAAGGUUCUUUUUAUUUAAGUUUAUUUAACAAUAAAUAACAAUCUGUUUGACCUAACAAUUUAUUUUAUAUAAGCGAUCCCUACUGAGUUUGAAUUUUAUUUAUAUAAUUUUUUAACACUAUGUUUUAAAAUACUGUGACUUUUUAAAAUAAAAUCAAAUUUUUACUUUUAUUUUUGUAGUGAUCAGAUCUUCUUUUCAACUCAUUAUGCAGUGUUGCUACAUUUCUAUAAAUAAUAUGUAAUAUGGUAAAUAUUUAAUAACUUUGAAUAUAAAAUCUAAUAAACAACACUUUGAUAAAUAUAAUUGUUAAGUUUCAAUUUAAUAUAUUAAUCAUUAACAGAUUUACUAGAUAAAAUGUGGGCGGCUAUAUUACCAUCUCCUCUCUCUCUCUCUCUCUCUCUCUCUCGCUCUCUUUCUUUCUCUCUCUUUCUAUACAUAUGUAUUAUAUAUAUGAGACAUUCUCUGUGAAACGGACACUCAUCUCUGCCCAAAAUAUAUUUUAGUUUUAAAAAAUCUGCAAGUACGUAAAUUAUAGUUGGAAACGUCAAUAUUUAAAUGUCGUUUGGCACUUUUAAAAAAAUUUAACAUGGCGAUAUCAAUAUGGCGUCAUAUUGGAACUAAAAUCACUGAUUUGCCCACAUAAUAUUCGAUCAAGAUAUUAAAAAAUAAUAUUUUGACUAAUGAGUAUCUAAAAGUUUUCAAGGGCGUGUUUUCAGCCCUGAAAACCUCUAAACGUCCUUUUUGAAGGCUUUAUAUCGUGUCUUGACAUUUUGAUCAAAUAUCCUGUUCGUAAAUGAGAGAAUAUGGUCUCAAUUUGAUACCGCCAUGUUGAAUUUUUCAAAAAGUGCCAGAUGGCAUUUAAAAAUAGACGUUUCCAACUAUAAUUUACGCACUUACUGAUUUUUAAAUACUGAAACAUAUUCUGGACGGAUGUUCGUUUCACAGAGAAAACCUCAUAUAUAUACAUAUAUGUAGAGGAAAGAAGGAGGUUAUAAAUCACUAUUUUGUUUUAUUUAAAUAACUCAAUAAAAGUUUGUGUGACACAAUUCUUGUUGGUACAAGUUUGUUAUUCAUAGAGUUUAACCAAUUAUAAACAAAUUUAAAAAAAGAACCAAGGCCAGUAAUCGAGCGUAAACACAGAUAUUAAAUUAUAUGAUUUAAUAUACGAUUCAAAAUUUUGGAGACGUUUCAUGCUUUACAAAGACUUUCUCAACUCCUUAAUUAUAAUAAGAUAAAUUACAUAGUAACAAUAUAACAACCUGAUUCUACCAUUUUUUGUACAUCUAUUAGUAGUGUCACAAAGAAUUACAAUAAAAAAAUAAUACUCAUAUAUGUAAAUACAACGUGUAGCUUAAUAUAUUAACCCCAAGUCUAUCGUGACUCCCCAAAAAUUAUACAAAUUGCGUUUUAAAUAAUAUAAACAGAAUUAAUAAUGAGCCACAUCAAAUUGAAAGCGUGACAUAAGUCGCUGAGAAUGUAAUUAAUGUCGGAAAUACAAUAAAAAGUUAAUGUGUUGAACAAAUAAAAACUCCAAGCGUUGAAUUUUCGAUUGCAAAUAGAAGAAAGAUGCGUGUCCUCAGAAUUGACAAAUAAAGAAGAAUCGGUUUCAAUUUUUGUCUAUCAGUUAUUUUUAUAAAGUCAUCUUAAGGUAUAAUUAAUAUAAGUGGUUAUAAAUCUGUAAAAUUGAAAAAACCCCACUCAUAUCAGUAAGGAGUAUGUCAAAUCUGAACUUAAACCUUCUUUGUUAAAAAAGACAAACUUACAUUCAACUAUAAGGUACAGCACUAUUGCUCUCACAUUAACAUUUUUACUAAUCAUGUUAUAAGCAGAAGUUUUUUGGAUAUACCAUACAUAACGAACAUAAUUAAUAAUUUACUGAAAA